rnacentral:hammerhead_ribozyme from 1 species
AUCCAGCCGGUGAGUCCCAAAUAGGAUGAAACAUGCGUUCUGGAU